GACGAACGCUGGCGGCGUGCCUAAUACAUGCAAGUCGAACGAGAGCGACCGGUGCUUGCACUGGUCAAUCUAGUGGCGAACGGGUGAGUAACACGUGGGUAACCUGCUCAUCAGAGGGGGAUAACAUCCGGAAACGGAUGCUAAAACCGCAUAGGUCUUCGAGCCGCAUGGCUUGAAGAGGAAAAGAGGCGCAAGCUUCUGCUGAUGGAUGGACCCGCGGUGCAUUAGCUAGUUGGUGAGGUAACGGCUCACCAAGGCCGUGAUGCAUAGCCGACCUGAGAGGGUGAUCGGCCACAUUGGGACUGAGACACGGCCCAAACUCCUACGGGAGGCAGCAGUAGGGAAUCUUCCGCAAUGGACGCAAGUCUGACGGAGCAACGCCGCGUGAGUGAAGAAGGUUUUCGGAUCGUAAAACUCUGUCGUUAGAGAAGAACAAGUGCUAGAGUAACUGUUAGCGCCUUGACGGUAUCUAACCAGAAAGCCACGGCUAACUACGUG
rnacentral:rRNA from 1 species